CGGGACUAGAGGAAGCCACUAACACACAAAGUACUGUUUCUCACAGUGAGAGGAAAGCUGACACGUGGUAUCCGCAAGCUCUGGGUCCUGGGUGCUUUUAGUUAACAGAGCCAGAGGGCAAAGGGCAGGAUAAUACCCGAUGGCUUCCAGCCAUGUGCUCGCUGGAAGUCUCAGGUGCACUCAGAUUGCUUGGAGUUAGGCCAGCACUGAAGAGAAAUCAAACUCAAUCAAGCCAGGAAGGAUUAGCAUUUCUACUAGGAGAGCAGACCACGCACAAACAGAGGGGACCAAACACCAGUGAAGAAGAUCGAAGCUGCACCAACAUAAAAAGUCUUUGUCUGCUGGAGAUGGCAUUACCUGUGACCUUGCUUCACUUCUUCACACAUGGCUGUUGUAGCAGAUGGUCCCCAAUGCCACAAGAUACUUUGAUGGCAAGAGGAAACACUGGAGAUAGAAUGCUGGGCGAAGAAAAGCAGAAAUGGGAAGAUUUGGUCACGUGGAAAUUCAGUUCUUCAGAAUAUGCUAGAUGUGGGCAUAGAUCCCCGACACUUGGCCCUCAAUUUCACGAGACAAUUUGA
rnacentral:lncRNA from 1 species